AUUGAACGCUGGCGGCAGGCCUAACACAUGCAAGUCGAACGGUAGCACAGAGAGCUUGCUCUCGGGUGACGAGUGGCGGGCGGGUGAGUAAUGCCUGGGAAACUGCCUGAUGGAGGGGGAUAACUACUGGAAACGGUAGCUAAUACAGCAUAACGUCGCAAGACCAAAGAGGGGGACCUUCGGGCCUCUUGCAAUCGGAUGAUCCCAGAUGGGAUUAGCUAGUAGGUGGGGUAAUGGCUCACCUAGGCGACGAUCCCUAGCUGGUCGGGGAGGAUGACCAGCCACACUGGAACUGAGACACGGUCCAGACUCCUACGGGAGGCAGCAGUGGGGAAUAUUGCACAAUGGGCGCAAGCCUGAUGCAGCCAUGCCGCGUGUAUGAAGAAGGCCUUCGGGUUGUAAAGUACUUUCAGCGGGGAGGAAGGGGUUGAGUUUAAUACGCUCAAUCAUUGACGUUACCCGCAGAAGAAGCACCGGCUAACUCCGUGCCAGCCGCCGCCGUAAAAC
rnacentral:rRNA from 1 species